GAAAUAUAUAAACAGUAUAUUCCUUUUUAUUUUGUUUUUAAAUACAGAGUUUCCUUAUACAAUAAAGGAAUUCCCUCUCCCUCCCCCCCUGCCCCAAGCAACUCUUAUCAAAAGAAAUCAUUCACUGUAAAAUCAACACUAGAUAGAGGCAUGCGCUUUAAGAGCAGAUUUAGCAAGUGCAAUAUCUAUAGGCCAUAUCUCCCUCAACAGGAACAUGUGCUUUCCCUCACUUAAAAUAGUCCCCAGCAGUCUGUGACACAAACCUCCUGGUCACCAAAUACAGACAAAUUUAACCAGUUACGUGCCAUGAGACAUGCUGGAAAAUCAACCCACCGCUGCUCUUCUGCAUGGAAAGGGGAUGUGGGAUUUGAGAUGAGCUGGGUGUGCUUCUGCUUUCUCCUUAAAUCACAUUCCGGAGCUUACCCUGCAUUUACACUCCUUCCAAGGAAUGCAGGAGGAGAAAAUGAGGGAGCAUGGAAGAUACAGCCACUUUCAGGUUGGACCAAGGGGAAGCGGGCUUGUUUCGCCCUAAUAUUCAAGAGCCUGUACUUUGGAGAAGGUGUUUUUUUAGCAGCUGAGCUGCUGCGCUUCAAUAGGAGAAUUCCUGCUUUAUUGGGUGACAACAACUGUGUAGGAACAAGGUACAACUCCACAUCAAUAAAGGCCAGGGAGAACAGAGGGGCUAAACACUUCUGAAAAUAACAGGGCACUAAGCCACCUUCCUUACUAAAUCAGAGCAGCUCUGCCAAACAUGAAAGGCUAAAUCCUCAAAGGGUCAACAGCACGAUAAGCUGCCCACUUUGCAGCUGAAUCACCCUUUGUCCCAUGGGAAUAGAUCCACUUAAACCUGGCUGGGCAUGAGCAUAUCCCAUGCACAUCCUGGUGGCCACAGCUUCUAAACAUGGGCACUUAAACCCAGGGUCCUAAUUACACUUUGGCAUCAGAUGGGUUGGAAAUGAGAGGUAGAUGCUAAGACCUAGGUGGGCAAAGGGAGCUCCAUAAUGAAGAUGUGAAUCACUACUUAAGAGCCUAUUCAUGCUGGAAGUCUGAAAUCAGUAGAGCUGGUCCCAGAUUUGAGAAGUUCAUAAAUACAUGAUGAUUUACAUAAUAGAAAGGUGGCUAACACAGCUCCUGAAGUAAGCAGUUCACUGAGAGCAGGAUACACUGCACAAGCUCAGUCACGUCAAUCAGAUGUCAAUCAGCUUCUUCUAACAAAGAGAUCGCCUUCAAAACUGGAGAUGCCAUCACUCAUGCCCCUCCUGCUCAAGCCAUAUCCAGCAGAGACCAGUAUGGCUUAUUACUUUGCUAUCACACUUACGGACACUUGCAGAAACCAUCUAAUCCCAUCAUGUGAAACUUAUCUAAAUUUGAUGCCUGGAAAGAGCGUGCUGAGACACCC
rnacentral:lncRNA from 1 species